rnacentral:rRNA from 1 species
AAACGAUGAGUGCUAAGUGUUAGGGGGUUAACCGCCCCUUAGUGCUGCAGCUAACGCAUUAAGCACUCCGCCUGGGGAGUACGGUCGCAAGACUGAAACUCAAAGGAAUUGACGGGGGCCCGCACAAGCGGUGGAGCAUGUGGUUUAAUUCGAAGCACACGCGAAGAACGCUGACCAGGUCGUGACAUAAUACAUGACAAGUCGAGCGGACAGAUAGGAGCGUGCUCCCUGAUCGGUAGCGGCAGAGUGACAGGUGAGUAACACGGUGGUCGUCAACUCGUGCCUGUAAGACGUUGGGAUAACUCCCGCAAACCGAGCGCUAACACCGUGAUGCUUAGUUUGAACCAGCAUGCAGUUGGGCAAACAUAAAAGGUGACUGCCGGCUGACAACUUACAGGAUGGAACCUGCGGAUGACGUCAAAUCAUCAUGCCCCUUAGUUGACCUGAGGCUACACACGUGCUCACCAAUGGACAGAACAAAGCGCAGCCGAAACCUGAGAGGGUAAGCCAAUCGGCCACAAAUCUGGGACUCAGACACGGAUCCCAGACUGCAACUACGGGAGGCAGCAGUGAAGCUGGAAUCUUCCGCAAUGGACGAAAGUCUGACGGAGCAGCACGCCGCGUGAGUGAAUGAAGGUUCCCGGGCAUCGUACACAGCUCUGCCCGUCACGGACCACGAGACAAUGUAACACCUUCGAAGUAGGUGAGGUAACCUUGUACGGUAGCCUAACCAGAAAGCCGAAGGCUAGGACUACGAUGCCAGCAGCCGCGGUGAAGUACGUAGGUGGCAAGCGUUGUCCGGAAUUAUUGGGCGUAAAGGGCUCGCAGGCGGUUUCUUAAGUCUGAUGUGAAAGCCCCCGGCUCAACCGGGGAGGGUCAUUGGAAACUGGGGAACUUGAGUGCAGAAGAGGAGAGUGGAAUUCCACGUGUAGCGGUGAAAUGCGUAGAGAUGUGGAGGAACACCAGUGGCGAAGGCGACUCUCUGGUCUGUAACUGACGCUGAGGAGCGAAAGCGUGUUACGAACAGGAUUAGAUACCCU